CCAAGGGGGAAACCCUACUUCUUAAAAAUCCUACAAAUUGAAGGGAUUGAAAGCUGAAUUCUAGGUGCAUGAGUUAGGAAGUAAGAUCUCCUAACUAUAUUAGAUACCAAGGUCGAAGAAAGGAGGGGAAUCAAACCAAGCAAAGGAAAUAGGAGCGCACGACUCCAGUGAAUCUCACUCUUGAUAAUGGCGAGCUUGGAUCGAACACACCACAUCGCCCUUUAUGCGCUUCCGGUUAAAGUUGUCUUUGUAAAUGGGUCAAAACACUUUCAUAAUGUAAAUGUUAAAUUUAUGUCUAGGAUGUUUUGUAGGUAAGUUAGGAUUUUAAAUCUUAUUUUGGUAGUUCGGACAAAACGCUUUUGAUGGAAUCUUGAAUGGUUACAACUUUUAUGUCU